UCAGAUUGAACGCUGGCGGCAGGCCUAACACGAUGCAAGUCGAGCGGUAGAGAGAAGCUUGCUUCUCUUGAGAGCGGCGGACGGGUGAGUAAUGCCUAGGAAUCUGGCCUGGUAGUGGGGGAUAACCGUUCGGAAACGAACGCUAAUACCGCAUACGUCCUACGGGAGAAAGCAGGGGACCUUCGGGCCUUGCGCUAUCAGAUGAGCCUAGGUCGGAUUAGCUAGUUGGUGAGGUAAUGGCUCACCAAGGCGACGAUCCGUAACUGGUCUGAGAGGACGACCAGCCACACUGGGACUGAGACACGGCCCAGACUCCUACGGGAGGCAGCAGUGGGGAAUUUUGGACAAUGGGCGCAAGCCUGAUCCAGCAAUGCCGCGUGCAGGAUGAAGGCCUUCGGGUUGUAAACUGCUUUUGUACGGAACGAAACGGUGAGCUCUAAUACAGUUUGCUAAUGACGGUACCGUAAGAAUAAGCACCGGCUAACUACGUG
rnacentral:rRNA from 1 species